CUCGAGUGGCGACUCUGUCCUUCCAUCUCAUAGAAGACAUUAGUUCUUCCUCGAAUAUCGCUUUACUCCUCCGCUGCCGAUCAGUAGAAGACCGAGAAAGAUGCACAGAGGCGAGCAGGGCUAAAACGGCCUCUAUUCGGGGCUGCGGAUCUUCUAUUAGCGGCAAGCGCAAAAACAUCGAAAUCGACGGCAGCAGCAUCGCGCAACUGAACCCCAUGGGCAACGACAUUUUAACUCAAUUCACUCGUCUUAUCAACGACAAGAGUCAAUGCUACUCCGUGUCAGAGCACAAGUAGGCAAUCCAGCC